rnacentral:rRNA from 1 species
CGAAGGACCCGAGCGCUAUCCGGAUUUAUUGGGUUUAAAGGGUGCGUAGGCGGAUUUACAAGUCAGUGGUGAAAUCUCCCAGCUUAACUGGGAAACUGCCAUUGAAACUGUUUAUCUUGAGUACAUUUGAGGCGGGCGGAAUGUGUCAUGUAGAGGUGAAAUUCUUAGAUAUGACACAGAACACCAAUUGCGAAGGCAGCUCGCUAAACUGUAACUGACGCUGAGGCACGAAAGCGUGGGGAUCAAACAGGAUUAGAUACCCUGGUAGUCCACGCCCUAAACGAUGAUUACUCGAAGUGUGCGAUACACUGCACGCCUCUGAGCGAAAGCAUUAAGUAAUCCACCUGGGAAGUACGACCGCAAGGUUG